AGGACGAACGCUGGCGGCGCGCCUAACACAUGCAAGUCGAACGAGCGAGAGAGAGCUUGCUCUUCAGAUCGAGUGGCGAACGGGUGAGUAACGCGUGAGGAACCUGCCUCAAAGAGGGGGACAACAGUUGGAAACGACUGCUAAUACCGCAUAAGCCCACGGCUCGGCAUCGAGCAGAGGGAAAAGGAGUGAUCCGCUUUGAGAUGGCCUCGCGUCCGAUUAGCUAGUUGGUGAGGUAAACGGCCCACCAAGGCAACGAUCGGUAGCCGGACUGAGAGGUUGAACGGCCACAUUGGGACUGAGACACGGCCCAGACUCCUACGGGAGGCAGCAGUGGGGAAUAUUGCACAAUGGGGGAAACCCUGAUGCAGCGACGCCGCGUGGAGGAAGAAGGUCUUCGGAUUGUAAACUCCUGUUGUUGAGGAAGAUAAUGACGGUACUCAACAAGGAAGUGACGGCUAACUACGUG
rnacentral:rRNA from 1 species